UUACAGGAACAUGGCAAGCUGUGUGUGGCUCAUCCUGGAGGAAGACCUUAGCCAUUGUGAAGCCUGAGAAUCCGGUGUGACGUUUCUCCAGGUACUUCAUGGUGUUCUCCUCUGUCGUCUGCACACGGCUCCUGAACCAUGGGGGAAAACGAGGAUGAGAAGCAGGCCCAGGCGGGACAGGUCUUUGAGAACUUUGUCCAGGCAUCCACGUGCAAAGGUACCCUCCAGGCCUUCAACAUCCUCACGAGACACCUGGACCUAGACCCUCUGGACCACCGAAACUUUUAUUCCAAGCUCAAGUCCAAGGUGACCACCUGGAAGGCCAAAGCCCUGUGGUACAAAUUGGACAAGCGUGGCUCCCACAAAGAGUAUAAGCGAGGGAAGUCGUGCACGAACACCAAGUGUCUCAUCGUCGGGGGAGGACCAUGCGGCUUGCGCACUGCCAUUGAACUUGCCUACCUGGGAGCCAAGGUGGUUGUGGUGGAGAAGAGGGACACCUUCUCCCGGAACAACGUGCUACACCUCUGGCCUUUCACCAUCCAUGAUCUGCGGGGCCUGGGAGCCAAGAAGUUCUAUGGGAAGUUCUGCGCUGGCUCCAUUGACCAUAUCAGUAUUCGCCAACUGCAGCUCAUCCUGUUCAAGGUGGCCCUGAUGCUGGGUGUUGAAAUCCACGUGAAUGUGGAGUUUGUGAAGGUUCUAGAGCCUCCUGAAGAUCAAGAAAAUCAAAAAAUUGGCUGGCGGGCAGAAUUCCUCCCUGCAGAACAUCCUCUGUCGGAGUUCGAGUUUGAUGUCAUCAUUGGUGCUGAUGGCCGCAGGAACACCCUGGAAGGGUUCAGAAGAAAAGAAUUCCGUGGGAAGCUGGCUAUCGCAAUCACCGCCAACUUCAUAAACAGAAACAGCACGGCCGAGGCCAAGGUGGAGGAGAUUAGCGGCGUGGCUUUCAUCUUCAAUCAGAAGUUUUUUCAGGACCUCAAAGAAGAAACAGGGAUUGAUCUAGAGAACAUUGUUUACUACAAGGACUGCACCCACUACUUUGUCAUGACAGCCAAGAAGCAGAGCCUGCUCGACAAAGGUGUCAUCAUUAAUGACUACAUCGACACAGAGAUGCUGCUGUGUGCAGAGAACGUGAACCAAGACAACCUCCUCUCCUAUGCCCGGGAAGCUGCAGACUUUGCCACUAACUACCAGCUGCCAUCCUUAGACUUUGCCAGGAACCACUACGGGCAGCCCGACGUGGCCAUGUUUGACUUUACCUCCAUGUACGCCUCGGAGAAUGCGGCCCUGGUGCGGGAGCGGCAGGCACACCAGCUGCUCGUGGCCCUCGUGGGUGACAGCUUGCUCGAGCCAUUUUGGCCCAUGGGCACAGGCUGUGCCCGUGGCUUCCUGGCAGCCUUUGACACAGCGUGGAUGGUGAAGAGCUGGAACCAGGGCACCCCUCCCCUGGAACUGCUGGCUGAAAGAGAAAGUCUUUACCGGCUGUUACCUCAGACAACCCCAGAGAACAUCCACAAGAACUUUGAGCAGUACACGCUGGACCCAGGGACGCGCUACCCGAACCUCAACUCCAACUGUGUCAGGCCCCACCAGGUGAAGCACUUGUACAUCACGAAGGAGCUGGACCGCUACCCUAUCGAGAGACUGGGCUCUAUGAGGAGAUCCGUCAGCCUCUCCAGGAGGGAGUCAGACAUCCGGCCCAGCAAGCUCCUAACCUGGUGCCAGCAGCAGACCGAGGGCUACCAGCACGUCAACGUCACGGAUCUGACCACAUCCUGGCGCAGCGGCCUGGCCCUGUGCGCCAUCAUCCACCACUUCCGGCCUGAGCUGAUCAACUUUGACUCUUUGAAUGAAGACGACGCUGUGGAGAACAACCAGCUGGCGUUUGAUGUGGCCGAGCGUGAGUUUGGGAUUCCUCCGGUGACCACGGGCAAAGAGAUGGCAUCAGCACAGGAGCCAGACAAGCUCAGCAUGGUCAUGUACCUCUCCAAGUUCUACGAGCUCUUCCGCAGCACCCCGCUGAGGUCCAUGGAUUCUUGGCGCAAAAAUUACGGAGACAAUGCUGACCUUGGCUCGGCGAAAUCAUCCAUUUCUAAUAACUAUCUCAACCUCACAUUUCCAAGGAAAAGGACUCCACGGGUGGAUGGCCAAACCGAAGAGAAUGACAUGAACAAACGGAGGCGGAAAGGCUUCAAUAACCUGGAUGAGUCUUUAAGGCAAAUGUCCUGGUGCCCACAAGUGCCACCUUCUGGUGAAAGAAGAAAAUUACAGCCUUCAAGCUUUUCCAGGCAUAGCUUGGGCUCCAAUCAAGAGUGCAGCAGCAGCAAAGAAGGUGGAAAUCAGAACAAAGUCAAGUCCAUGGCAAACCAGCUGCUGGCCAAGUUCGAGGAGAAUUCUCGGAACCCCUCGCUCCUGAAGCAGGAGCGCCGUGUCUCAGGGAUAGGUAAGCCUGUCCUGUGCUCUUCCUCUGACCCUCCUGCUCACUCUCGCUGCCCCAAGCCAGAGGCGCCCACACCCAGCCCGCCAUGUGCUCUGAAAAGGCAGUUACCCCCUGUGGUUGUGACGGGGCACGUGCUCAGAGAGCUCAAGCAAGUGUCUGCUGGUGGCGAGUGUCUGAGCAGGCCCUGGAGAGCCAGAGCCAAGUCUGACCUGCAGCUGGGCAAGCCGGAAAAUCUCGCUGCCCUGGCUCCUCCCUGCCAGGGCCCACAGGCCCUUUCCGGAGUGCUGCGGCGGCUGCAGCAAGUGGAAGAAAAGAUUCUGCAGAAGAGGGCUGAGAACUUGGCCAACAGGGAAUUUCACAAAAAGAACAUUAAAGAGAAGGCGGCUCACCUCGCUUCCAUGUUUGGACAAGGGGAUUUCCCGCAGAAUAAACUACUCUCUAAAGGCCUGUCUCAUACUCAUCCUCCGUCUUCUCCCUCUUGCCUUCCGUCUCCUGAUCCAGCUGCUACUUCUUCGCCGCCGACUGUUGACUCUGCUUCUCUUGCCAGAAAGCUGACAGUAGGGAAAGUGUCCAGCGGCAUAGGGGCUGCGGCUGAAGUCCUGGUCAAUCUGUACAUGAAUGAUCACAGACCUAAGACCCAGGCCACCUCUCCAGACCUGGAAUCUACGCGGAAGCUGUCAUUUCCCAUGAACCUGGGUGGCAGCGACACCUGCUACUUCUGCGAGAAGCGUGUGUACGUGAUGGAGCGGCUGAGCGCCGAGGGCCACUUCUUCCACCGCGAGUGUUUCCGCUGCAGUGUCUGCGCCACCACCUUGCGCCUGGCUGCCUACGCCUUCGACGGCGAGGAAGGCAAGUUUUACUGCAAGCCCCACUUCAUUCACUGUAAAACCAGCAGCAAACAACGGAAGAGACGGGCAGAGCUGAAGCAGCAGAGAGAGGAGGAGGGGACGUGGCGAGAGCAGGAAGCCCCUCGGCGAGACGCUCCCUCCGAAAGUUCUUGCGCCGUGGCCGCCAUCAGCACGCCGGAAGGCAGCCCUCCAGGUAUCUCCACCUCCUCCUUUAGGAAGGCGCUGAGCUGGUCUCUCCGGCUGCCCAGGGCCCUGCUCGACCUUCCCGAGAGGCUGCUUAACUGGAUGCGGGCGGUGCUGCAAGCCGCGGGCCUCCAUUUCAGGGACAAUGCUGCCAACUACUGCUACACCUACGAGCUGCUGAGCCUCGGGCUGCCGCUCCUCUGGGCCUUCUCUGAGGUCCUGGCAGCCAUGUACAGGGAGUCCGAGGAGUCCCUCGAGAGCAUCCGCACCUGGGUGCUCAGGUGCCUCCCGGUCAAGCUUCAGUGAAGCACCUGGCUGCCCCAAAGUGCCUUAACGUUUCCAGAGUCAGCCGGCAACGGGCCUGUCGCUUGCCAAGGCUCUGGCCGUGAGGCCUCGCGUCCUUUAACCAAAUCAUAGCUGAAAGCCAAAGCGUUUCACAGUGGCCACCUCCGCCUGGCCUUGUCAGGGUGAACAUCUACUCACGGUGCUCGGGCCAGGGACAACAUGAAGGAUGUUUUUUAUAGCUUUAUACUUUUUUAUACCAAAGCGAGCCAUAUUUCUCGGUUUACAUUUCAAAUUUUAACUUCUAAUAAGCCAAGAGAAAACUUUUUUUUUUCUAUGAGUGUCAAUUUUUCUAAACACAAGUUUGCCGUGUAUAGCCAGUGCCACACGAACCCAUCGACAUUCUAGUGAGUUGUAAUAGCCACUGCCUGCAAAGUUAAGGAUGGCGAUUUUAUAUGCACAAAAGUGAGCGUGCCUUCUCCUCACCGGUGCCUUUUGACUUAUGUACCCAGAUGUCACGGGUCAACAGCAGGCAAUUUUUUGCAACAUGGAAGUCUAAUUAUUUUAGAAGAAAAGAGUAUAGAACAAAAUAGAAUUAAACCUACAAAAGCACAUAGCAUAUGUAGUUGGCUGUUGGCUGUCCUCCCAGAGGGAGGAAGACUGUUUUUGAUAUAAAAUACCAGCUUGAAGACUCUAUCUCCUAUACCAAAUCACAGCCAAAUGACAGAGAACCACGGGUUUCAACCAGAUUGCCACAAGCAUACAUUUCCCUUCCCACUAAUGGGCACUGCAGAGAAAGCCCACUGGACUUGACCGUAGAGAGCUCCAUCAAGCUGAUGCAAUGCUAAAGAUGAGAUAUUUCAGCUGGUGGCAUUUUAUAACCCCUGGAGCUGUCGCUACUGGGUCCCCGAGCCCAGGCUGCAGGCUGAGCCAAGGCCACUCAGGGUGCAUAAGGGUCAGGCUGAGUCGAGUGGAAGACUCUGCCCUCUCACGUGGUGUCUUUUGAGACCGAGGGCAUUGCUAGCACAUCAGGCUAUGGCAGGGAAAUGUGGCCUGUCCACGGAGCAUUGCCUGUGAAUAUCCUGGCUGCUUAGCGGCUCCACGGCCAGGCGCACAUGGUCAGAACAGUCAGAAACCACUUUCACACUGCCCUAGCAAAGGAAUGUGUCUGACCUCCACGGGGAAGCUCUGCUGUAUCUUGACUGGCAGGGAAGUCUGGGAGUAGAAGCUGUUUAUGGACUGACCCAAAGGAAGUUUGCCCUAGCAAGGGCAUAAACGAGCAUCAGGCCCACCUACAUUCUCCACCGGGAAUAUCUGGGAGAGCCCUUGGCUGUCCCCAUGCCACUCUGCCCAGGGUGUCCCCACGCCACUCUGCCUGGACAUGCACAGCUGCAGGGUCUGGUUGAACAAUCGGGAGACUGAGAGAGAAAGGCCUUCUACGGUGCUCAGUGUGUCCGGAUUUGUGGGCCCGAGAUAGCUCUACGCAGUAGUUAUCACUGGUGAUUCUUCUGGAUUAGCUAAGGAGGGGCCUGGUGCGGGUUAGGAGCCAGAGUCUCCACAGCUUUGAGAUGACAGGUUUCUGUAGAGCAGAAAGAAAGGGUGGUGAGUUCCUACAAACACUUCUCUGAAAUCCUUGAGAAAAACAGGGGAAUGGCCUUGGCCAAGUCUGUGGGAACCGGCGCCUGCGUCCUUGUUGGAACUGUUCUCAGUCUGAUGACUCGCAUUGCGUUUUUUCCAAUUUUUGCUGGGAUUUUUAAUGUUCAGCAUGGUAGGUGGAGCCCUUGAUUCCUUUUGUGUUUGAUUAUAGAGAGUAAAUUCUCGAGAUGAUGAUGUGAACAGCCGUGUUAUUGUCAUUAUAAUCAGCUCAGGGUCGGCUGAGAUGUUGUGUGGAAUGUUCUAUGAAGCCAGAGUUGGAAUCUCUAAGAAUGUCAUAUAUGGCCAGAAGGAGCCUGGUGUGAAUCACUCUGGUGAGAGGGGUGUGUCUAGCAGAAGUCUGAGGUUUUUGUAUGACAUGUUCUGAGACCUCGAACCUUCCUGGUGGACAGCACCAACACACACAGGUGAUCCCAGGGGGAGGGGCCUCUCUCCAGGCCUCCAUGGCAUAUUUGAGACUGAGUAGGAAGACACCAGAGGAUGGGGGGGGGCAGAGAGGGAGGUCCCGAGGGCAUUUGUGGCUCUAGGUGGAGUGCAGGAUGGUGCUGGCAGUACCCAAACUGCAUGUGUCCACCCUUGUAAUGAAGUAACUGGUCACUACCAGAAAGGUUCGUGUCUCCUAAGCAAGCAGUGACUUGUUUGGGGUAGGUUCCCCCUUUGUUAACGAUUGCCUUAUUUUCAACUCUGAUGCCUUCUCGCAUUGUCAUCCGUUUUCCUUUUGUCCCUCACUAAGUUCUCUUUUCUGUCUUUCUCUCUCUUUGCAACCUCACACUGUGGCCGUCAGUGCAUUUCAGCCUUCCAGUGCUACACCCACUUCUUGGCUGACACACUUCUGCUCUGAGAGUCUCCCUCCCUUUCUAGAAUGUCAACCAAAGAGUGGCCUCCUCCCCUCUCAGCCUCCUCUCUAGCUAGGCUCCCAAUCUCACCACAACGCAUGUCUGUGACCUUUGGUGAUCAUUUACAGUGCCACACGGAACCCUGUAUUUUGCACACAGCAAAACAAUGUUUAGCUUUAUUUAUGGUAUUUGAUGCUGUAAAUGGAAAUAAAUAUGGUUCUUUAUAAAUCUCA